rnacentral:rRNA from 1 species
ACAAAUGCAAAGGAGUUGAAAGGGGUAGCUUUUACGUUCAUAAUUGAUCUCGCAGUUUGCAAAAGCACAUCGGACCUGGGGAGGGGCGGUGUGCUUUUUUGAUGUCUACGAGAUAAAUAUAAGAAAACUUAGUUUUAUUGUCAAUAAGAAAUCUUAUUUUAAUUUAAGAAAGCUUACUUUUAUGCUUUAAUAGACAAAAGAAAACCCAACUAUCAAAGGUGAUAGAAAUGAGUCUAGGCGAAGAAAUGUUUGAAUGGCGCAAGCAGAUGGUUGAGAAACUACUGCUUCAGGAAAGUAAUAUUGAUCAACUAGAAGAAAAAGUUGAUCGUGCUGAAAAGAUUCUUUUUGGUGAUUGCACAGCCGCUUUCAAAAUAGAGUGCACGCUUCGGAACGCGUAUGCGCUGAAAGCUAUUCUUGAUGACUUUGCCACCAAGAAUAACUGCAAGGUAAGUAUAGUAGAGUGUGAGUAAUCAGGGUUAGCUCAUUCCUGAAAUGGGUUUUGAUGUGGCUUUAGGCUUUGGCUUAAGUUCUUUUAAAGCUUCUU